ACGCUGGCGGCGUGCCUAAUACAUGCAAGUAGAACGCUGAAGGAGGAGCUUGCUCUUCUGGAUGAGUUGCGAACGGGUGAGUAACGCGUAGGUAACCUGCCUGGUAGCGGGGGAUAACUAUUGGAAACGAUAGCUAAUACCGCAUAACAGUAGAUGUUGCAUGACAUUUGCUUAAAAGGUGCAAUUGCAUCACUACCAGAUGGACCUGCGUUGUAUUAGCUAGUUGGUGGGGUAACGGCUCACCAAGGCGACGAUACAUAGCCGACCUGAGAGGGUGAUCGGCCACACUGGGACUGAGACACGGCCCAGACUCCUACGGGAGGCAGCAGUAGGGAAUCUUCGGCAAUGGACGGAAGUCUGACCGAGCAACGCCGCGUGAGUGAAGAAGGUUUUCGGAUCGUAAAGCUCUGUUGUAAGAGAAGAACGAGUGUGAGAGUGGAAAGUUCACACUGUGACGGUAUCUUACCAGAAAGGGACGGCUAACUACGUGCCAGCAGCCGCGGUAAUACGUAGGUCCCGAGCGUUGUCCGGAUUUAUUGGGCGUAAAGCGAGCGCAGGCGGUUAGAUAAGUCUGAAGUUAAAGGCUGUGGCUUAACCAUAGUACGCUUUGGAAACUGUUUAACUUGAGUGCAAGAGGGGAGAGUGGAAUUCCAUGUGUAGCGGUGAAAUGCGUAGAUAUAUGGAGGAACACCGGUGGCGAAAGCGGCUCUCUGGCUUGUAACUGACGCUGAGGCUCGAAAGCGUGGGGAGCAAACAGGACUAGAUACCCUGGUAGUCCACGCCGUAAACGAUGAGUGCUAGGUGUUAGACCCUUUCCGGGGUUUAGUGCCGUAGCUAACGCAUUAAGCACUCCGCCUGGGGAGUACGACCGCAAGGUUGAAACUCAAAGGAAUUGACGGGGGCCCGCAC
rnacentral:rRNA from 1 species